rnacentral:misc_RNA from 1 species
CUGAAGCGCCAGGGGGAGUGCUGGCCCUUUUGGGGCAUGUGCACCUUCCUACCUUCAUCCACACACACCUGUGCACCUUUAGAGGCGAGGACUCCCGUGCCCGGAGCCGGACUCACGUCCCGAGGACUCGCCUACUCCUUUUCACAAACUCUAAUGUAUGACCCGGAACGUAAAGGCGGCACCGCCGCGAAACUUAUACA